rnacentral:lncRNA from 1 species
AAAAAGAGAAAAUAAAUUUAAAUUGCUUCCAGCCGAACGGUCUAGUUGGUCCUCAUAAAUGAUUCUAACUUUUCCUCUACCCAAGACCACUGAAAAGUAAAAGCAGAUCUCCUCAAAUCUUUUCCUUAUCGAUUUGCUUUUCAAUCGGCACCAUUUCCUCCAUUUUAAACGUCGCACCAUACUGCCGAAAGCUAAGGUCUUUUCCAUUUUCUUUUACUCUGAAGAACCCAGACGAUUUGGCUUUGAUUCUCCUCCAGAUGAUCUUAAGGUCCCUCCCUCCAGGUACUGUUCCUCUCGCUUCUUGAGUGUUUCUUUUGCUAGUCGGUAGGCUUCUGUGUUUUCUAACCUUGGGAUGAAAUAAAAUCUGAUUUCUUGAUAGUAAUCCUUUAGGCUUUGGAUGUCACUGAUUAUUGCCCCUAUUUCUGAUUUGUCUUGAUUUGCAUUUUGGCAUUUUGUAAUCACUGUUUUUGAGUCUCCGAUUAUAUCUAAAUUAUGAUAGCCCAACUGAAUCCCUAACCUUGUUGCUUGAAAACCUGUAUAUGCUUCCGCCGCGAAUGAAGAUGCAAUAUUUUCAUGAAGGGUCGAAUUUGCUGCAACGAUCCUACCCUCCUCAUUUCUAACAACUAGGCCUGACGCAGAUCUGGAGUUCUGUAAGUCGAAAGCCGCAUCGAAAAAGAUGGCCUUUUUCGCCCUUUGUAGACUUUGUCUAGGCCUCACACUGGUUUCCACGUUGAGUACCCUAUCUUUAAUCCCUUCUAAUUCCAAAAUGUAGCUUUUUAUUUGUUUGGAUAUAUCCCAACUAGUACUUUAUCUGCUUUCGUAUAAUAACUUAUUUCUGUUUGUCUAGAUAAGCCAGAGUCCGCAACAGAAACCCCUGCACUGUUCGUUUGUCCCUUGGCUGAAAACCCAGGUAAGCCAACUCCAAAUAUCUAAAUGACUGUUGUUGAGUACCCAUGAAAAAUUUAAGUGACUCCAUAUUUCCUUUGCUAUAGGGCAUAGAUGGAAAACGUGGAAACUAUCUUCUCCUUCUUGACCGCAUCUCAAACAUCGAUCCUCAGCCAUCACUCUUCGCAGCUUCAGAUUGGAGAAAGUGGGACUGUAAUUCCAUGCUAUUUUCCAUACUGUAAUCUUGAUUUUUGAGGGCAUAUGUAAAUUCCAUAAUUUCCUGUAGAAACUUUUAGUAUCAGUCUAUAAAGAAACACUAGGAUCUAUUUUAGCCUCCUGUAAUAGUUUAUAGGCACUCCUUAGAAAAGUCUCCAGUUGCCUAUAAUAAAUGGUUUAAGAUUUAAGGUUUAUUUGAGAUUUGUUAAAUGAUAAAAUUUUAUACAAUUAAUUAAUACUUUUAUAUUUAAAAAUAU